AUUGAACGCUGGCGGCAUGCCUUACACAUGCAAGUCGAACGGUAACGGGCCUUCGGGUGCCGACGAGUGGCGAACGGGUGAGUAAUGUAUCGGAACGUACCUUUCAGUGGGGGAUAACGUAGCGAAAGUUACGCUAAUACCGCGUAUUCUGUGCGCAGGAAAGCAGGGGAUCGCAAGACCUUGCGCUGAUUGAGCGGCCGAUAUCAGAUUAGCUAGUUGGUGAGGUAAAGGCUCACCAAGGCGACGAUCGGUAGCGGGUCUGAGAGGAUGAUCCGCCACACUGGAACUGAGACACGGUCCAGACUCCUACGGGAGGCAGCAGUGGGGAAUUUUGGACAAUGGGGGCAACCCUGAUCCAGCCAUGCCGCGUGAGUGAAGAAGGCCUUCGGGUUGUAAAGCUCUUUCGGCCGGGAAGAAAUCGUAUCAGCUAAUACCUGGUGCGGAUGACGGUACCGGCAUAAGAAGCACCGGCUAACUACGUGCCAGCCGCCGCCGUAACAC
rnacentral:rRNA from 1 species